ACCUGCCCUAUGNNNAGUUNNNAUUAAAUGGCUGCGGUAUAUUGACCGUGCAAAGGUAGCAUAAUAAUUAGUUUUUUAAUUGGGAACUGGUAUGAAUGGUUGGACGAGAAAAAUACUGUCUCAGUUUAAUUUUAAUUAGAAUUUUAUUUUUAAGUUAAAAAGCUUAAAUAAUUUUAAAAGACGAGAAGACCCUAUAGAGUUUUAUAUAAAAUUNAUAUAUUUAAAAAAAAUAAAGNNUAUAUAUUUUUUNAUUUAUUUANAUUNUUAUAUUUGAUUGGGGUGAUUGAAAAAUUAAAUAAACUUUUUUUUNNNNAUUAAUAACAUAAGUUUAUGAUUAAUUG
rnacentral:rRNA from 1 species